rnacentral:rRNA from 1 species
UACGAAGGGGGCUAGCGUUGCUCGGAAUCACUGGGCGUAAAGGGUGCGUAGGCGGCCUUGUAAGUCAGUGGUGAAAUCUUCCCGCUUAACGGGAAAACUGCCAUUGAUACUGCAGGGCUUGAGUACAGAUGCUGUGGGCGGAAUAUGACAUGUAGUGGUGAAAUACAUAGAGAUGUCAUAGAACACCGAUUGCGAAGGCAGCUCACAAAACUGUAACUGACGCUGAGGCUCGAAAGUGUGGGGAUCAAACAGG